rnacentral:rRNA from 1 species
AACGAACGCUGGCGGCAUGCCUAACACAUGCCAGUCGAACGAGACCUUCGGGUCUAGUGGCGCACGGGUGCGUAACGCGUGGGAACCUGCCCUUAGGUUCGGAAUAACUCCCCGAAAGGGGUGCUAAUACCGGAUAAUGUCUUCGGACCAAAGAUUUAUCGCCUUUGGAUGGGCCCGCGUUGGAUUAGCUAGUUGGUAGGGUAAAAGCCUACCAAGGCGACGAUCCAUAGCUGGUCUGAGAGGAUGAUCAGCCACACUGGGACUGAGACACGGCCCAGACUCCUACGGGAGGCAGCAGUGGGGAAUAUUGGACGAUGGGCGAAAGCCUGAUCCAGCAAUGCCGGGUGAGUGAUGAAGGCCUUAGGGUUGUAAAGCUCUUUUACCCGGGAUGAUAAUGACGGUACCGGGAGAAUAAGCUCCGGCUAACUCCGU